AGCAAAUCUCCAAAAAAUGUCUCAGUUCAGAUUGCAGGCUGCAACUCGCCUGCAUGAAGUCGGAAUUGCUAGUAAUCGUAGGUCAGCAUACUACGGUGAAUACGUUCCCGGGCCUUGUACACACCGCCCGUCAAACCAUGAGAGUUGGCAACACCCGAAGUCGGUAGUCUAACCGCAAGGAGGACGCCGCCGAAGGUGGGGUCGAUGAUUAGGGUUAAGUCGUAACAAGGUACC
rnacentral:rRNA from 1 species